GACGUAGGGUGCGAGCGUUGUCCGGAAUUAUUGGGCGUAAAGAGCUCGUAGGCGGUCUGUCGCGUCGGCUGUGAAAUCCCGAGGCUCAACCUCGGGUCUGCAGUCGAUACGGGCAAACUGGAGUGUUGCAGGGGAGACUGGAAUUCCUGGUGUAGCGGUGAAAUGCGCAGAUAUCAGGAGGAACACCGGUGGCGAAGGCGACUACCUGGCCUGUUCUUGACGCUGAGGCGCGAAAGCUAGGGGAGCAAACGGG
rnacentral:rRNA from 1 species